GCGAGCCCACUCUGGGGGGACUAACAGAAUCCUUUGCUCGGCUGGGUCUCUCCUCCCCCCCCUCCUUCCCGCACGCACACGCACACGCACACGCACACUCCUGACAGAUGUAGAGGAAAACGAAUACCACCGAUCACUUCAGACUCGGCAUACUCGCGCCGCUCUAGGUUGUAAAUCACACACGAGCUGCGCGCGGAACGUGUAAUAACGCGAUCGCCCGAUAAUACGCCGUUACGGCCCCGAUAAAACCGUCGUGUAAGGCCGCGAGAUGCGCGCGCGGAGAAAAGGGCCAUUACGAGUGCGGAAGCCGGCCAAUUUGUCCGAUCCGGACUGACGAGUGCGCGUUAUACCGAGUGUCCCGGGCUCUCCUUUGGUACUCUUUCUCGCUGACGCAUUCGUCGAAGACCAGAAAUGUCCUCUGGACUAUUCUACUCCCCUCUCCUUUCGCCUCGGAUCUAUUCGCGUAAUUAAAUAAGUCAGAUGUACGGUCGCUGGAUUGAGAAUAUUUUUUUUUUUUUUUUUUUUUUUACUAGAUAUUGUAAUCAGCCGCGAUAAAACGAAGGGGAGAGAAAAUUUACUUACUUAGUACCAAGUGGCAAGCACCUGGACUUUGGCAAUAUAAAGAUCAGGUGUGGAUUAUGGAAACAGGACGGAUUUAAAUGACAAUCCGACGGCACUCGCGACGGUACGUCUGUAUUCGAAGGCGAAAAUUCAUUCCGAAGUGCGAGCUGGUGCGGGCUGGAGCGAGGACUUAAAAUAACAUUUUGUUGAAAAACAGUCUAACCGGAUCGGAGAAGACGAGCAGCAGACGGGCAGAUCCGUGUAAACUUGACGCUCACGUACGACGAAAUAGCACACACGAGAGCGAGAUAAUACGCAUAAUGGAUCUACGAGAGGCGACUGUCUGCUAGGUCGAAAGUGACCACGUCGAACGGGGCCGUCAUUCCGUUCGAGGCAAACAGCAACAAACGUUCCCUGGAAGUGCUCUUAUCAAUUAACCGUGGCCUCUGAACCGCGAAUGACCUCACCGAUAUCGUCGUUUCAGCUGAUUUCUCGGUCUUUCGUCAACUCACGAAACGAGAUACCGAUACGAUGACAGGGAGAAAUAUGCCGAUUAACUUCCGUUUAUGCAAAAUAAAUGACCUUUGGAA